CUCCUCAGCAGCAAGAAUUUAACUUGAAAGAGAAUAAAAACGAAAUAACAUAAGUAAUCUGCCUAGUAACAGGGCAGCCAAUCAUAUACACUUAUCAACAUUAAGUGUCUUGAACAGUCUUCUAACUUCCUCUUUCUUGUCUGUGUCGACGAAGAGCCGUCGUAACUUUCCAUAACUUCGGGUAUUCCACCCAGACAGUGUCCAGUACGUUACGCUGUGGAAACAAAGAGAAUGUACGGUAAAAUCCAAACUUUGGAACUGUAUGUUAUCCUUAUUCCUUAUGUUCCUUACAAUUGAUAUAACAAACUGGUAAAACAAG